GAAAAGAAAGGUCUGCAACAUGGGGGGAUAUUAGGACCCCUGAAGUUUUGCUUUAAAAGUGUGUAGAGUCCUUUUGAGUUGUUUUCCAUUUGAUGGUGGCUAUCAAGUCUCAGAUCCAGUUGCCCACUGGCUUCUUCCCUCCCUAAAAGUGACGGUUUCUUUCAUGUAAUUUCUCAAGGAAUUAGGCUCCUUAUUUUUACAUGGCUACUACUUGGAAAACUGGUAAAUCCUGCCCUGCUGCCUGCUCUUAGAGCUUGGGUGUCCUUCCGUCUUUCUGAAACUCUGUGAAAAUCAACAGGACUAGUGCCAUGGCUUACUACAGGGUCUUCAUUCCUGAACCCCUUCACAGAUCUCCUUGUGGAGACAUAUCUUGCUCUUGCAAAGACUUACCCGUCCAUCAGCUUUUGGCGACCCCCAGGAGUGAAUGCAGUGUACUCUCAUCCUUCCUGUGUUAUUACAGCCUGUCUCACCUUUUCUGACACCUUGUCUUUGCAGGGAGCACUCACUUUACUCCAUCAGCACAGCCGCUCUCCAUCUCCAGAGCUCUAAGAGACCUCACAGCCCCGGGGAGCCUCGGGCAAGGGGAGCAGAGGGAUGUGACUGUCCUUACCUCACCACACGAACCAGGGACUGCAGGGAACAGGUGGAACAAACAUCCCUCCCCCGUCCUUGGGAGCUGGAUGGCAGCGAGGACCUGCUGCUGCCCUCCCCCCAGCGUUAUGUUGGAGAUGACAGCCCACCCAUCACCCUCUGCCUAGGGCAGGUGUGGGGACACCCCCCAUAUCCUCCCGUAACAGCAGUAGCGCCAACACCCCCCGGCUGGGAGGCACGGGGAGGGGGAUACGACUCCCACGCCUUGAGGACGUGGGAACACACACAUCUCCCCCGGCCGCCGCAGCUCCCUGCGCCCCGCGGGUCCCGGCGCGCUCCCGCCGCUGCCGUCUUUGCUGCUGCUGCUGCUGCUGCUGCUGGCGCUGCCCGGCCCCGCGCCGGACGGUGAGAACACAGAGUUACCUCCCUUCCCCACAGCAGGAGGACACUACUCUAUUUUGGAAGAUAUGGUGUCACCAGCUCUUAGUGCUACAGUCAUUGUCAUUGUCACCACAGUCCUAUCGGUGAGCGCUUACUUGUGUUUCCUGAGGUACAUCUGCUCUGGAUGCUGCAAAGCCACCCAAGUAGGACCAGACAGAAGACUUGACCCCAGCACGUUUGAAGAACAAGUCUAAUCUCACCUCAUCAGAGGAUCUACUGAGCUGUGACAAGAAGUGUCUGCAAGAAGAAAUCCCAGGAGGUAGAGACGUUAUUCAGAGAUUACUAACAAGAAGCACCCCCCAUCCAACAUCAGGGUUUUGCCACACUGUACUCUCUGUAUCUUUAAUUGAUUUUUCUAGGGAUAGUGAAUCUUCUUCUGAAGUUUUCUGAUGAAACGCUACUAUUAACAACACUUUCAGUAGCACUCGGCAUUCCUCGGCAUUUUUCAUCUUCUCUGUUAUUAUCUGAUUGACUGCAUUUUUGUUGACACUUCUCUGCUUUCAUAGCUGAUAAUGGAUUUGGGGUUUCAGACUUCUGCCACUGCUACCAUCUUUCUCGCCUGGUGAGAGAGAGAAAGAGCCAAGGACCUUGGGAAUUGUCUGGUAUUGUUAUCUUUUGAAAUUGUAAAGACAAACUGGACACACUUUUGGCACUCCAAAGGCAAGACUUUGCUCUCCAUACACAGAAAUCCAUACAUUUCAUACACUACAGCUUGCAUUGCAUCAGAGGUCAAAACAGGUGAUCUAGUGAUCUUCUGACCUUCUAAUCUUAAGCUGAUCUUCUGAUCAUAAACUCAAUGCCAACAAUGCUCACAUUUCUGUUACUAACAGAUCUUUCAAGUCCAUGUGUCACUUUUUCUUUGCUGUUGAGCCAUUUCAUUUUUGCCAUGUAACCAAGAUGCUACUGGGUGUCUAUCAGAGCCACAACUAUACUGACUGUUUAAAAAAACCCUCACCUAUUAGAAUUCUGGCCAUGCAAGUGAUAUUCUCCCACUCAUGUCCUAGUCAGUGAGUGUACCAUGUCUGAACCACGCUAACUGUGGGGAAAAAACCCACAUCUGGUUAAAACAGAAAAAAUUAAUCUGAAGCUUUCUGGCAGCAGACAUUUUUUGUCAUUCCCAGGACCAGCUGAGAAAAUGAAGUUCAGAAGAAAAUAUCAGUGGAAUGUCUCUUUUUGGGUCAUCUUGGUUUAAGCUGGACUGGGAAGAGCCGAAAAGCUUUUUUUUGGAACAGCUGAUUGUGGGGUUUUCUCUGCAGUUCACAAAGCAAAGGAAGUACAGAUAAAUAAAAGCAAACAUCCCAGUGGUGGCCUGUUUGAGAUCUACCUGCAUCAAGAUUUGAGAUGUGUGUUGUUUAUCACUGGCACAGUCACUGAGGCAAACUACAGCUGUAUUUUCCCUCUUACAAAUGUGCCUCUCCAGCAGAUGUUGUUUUUAUGUCAAUGUCUUCUCUCGUCCAUGAAAACAAAACCCAAACUGUUCUGGUCUUUGUUUUUACAGCAAAAAAAGCUUGAAGAUGGAAUAUUUGAAAUACCCAUGAGGAAAAUUUGAAAGAGAAGCUCUCAUCUUUGCAAACCUGCCUGUGUGGGACAAGCCAAUCCACAUUUUUUUGAUGAGCAGAGUCGCCAGCAAUGCAUGCCAGGCAGGUUUUGGAUCUGAUCUGCGUCCCUUGGGCACCUAGUGCUCCUAAUCCAACAGCAAAGAAGAAAAGAGCCAGGACCACUUUUAUUCUUGGAAAGGGCCAACAAAAAGAGGUGCAGCUCUGCAUGCAGACCUGGAUAUCAUUGUGCAAAUGAAGUCCAACAAUCAUAGCCAAAUUUCACCUGCAAUGCAUCAGCACUGCUUGUGAUUAAAACUUAUAUGUUUGUUUUGCCAAGUCAAAGCUGUAUGUUGUAUUUUGCCUCUUAAGUAUGUAUUUCAGUAGCUCUGUAUAUCUGUGUCACAGGUUAACUGAAGAGCCAAUUUCCAUCAGAUGAAAGACAGUCCUUGGCAAAUCAAUUAUGUUAUAAAAUAUAUGAAAUAGCAGUAUUCAAUAGCCACUUAGGCCUUUUCUUUGUUUCAAAAUUCAGCCACCUAGAAAAUCUUCAAACCUAAAUCAGGAGAGAAAUGAUCACUUGCAUUCAUUAGGAUCAUGUGUGCCAACAUUUCUUUUAAUAUAUUACUUUCAUCCAAAUUGUAGUUCCUAGCAUUUCACUGAGCAGGUUUACUAUGUUCCAGUCCGGUGACUUACAUGCUAGCUCUGAGAGAGCUGUGUAACCCAACUGUUUUCCUUGGAUAUAUUUUCUUUGCAGUAAAAAGGUGAUUUUUGGCUCUUAAACCAAUGAAAGCUGCAGAAUGAGACAAUAACAUUAUAAAAUGUACCCAUAUUAGUGAUAGCAAAAGGGAUAGGGGGGAGAGAAGAGAAUGGGAAAAGUAAUGAAAAUAUGUAGGGAUCAGAGAUCCUGCUCACAGUGUAUUAUUGUUCACUCAAAGGUGAGUGCACAGGUAACCCCAACUGUCCCCUACCCAGUGUUCCCAUUUCCCCAUCUCUCUUCCACAGAUCUUGAUUCCUCCAGCCAUUUCCAAAGACAUUCUCAAUCACUUCCAUGGUCCUAAGUCCCAAUCACAGCCAAGACUAAGAAUGUAGACCAUUUGUUCUCAUUUUUCACCUGCCCUAAUGUUGUUUUUAAUCUCCUCCCAUCUACUCCACAUUUUCUGUGAUAUUCCCAUUACUUGUGACCCAGUGCAUAACCCUUAUUACUGUUGCCACUUCUGGGUUACUUCAAUUCUGUCUGCCAGAAAUGAUUGUUCCCUAAAAGUUGGAGGGAACAUUAUAGAAGUGGAACACAAACUAUAUAACUGUAUAAAAAAAGAGUUCAAAUGGAAUUUAUACAGUGUUGUCCAUAUUUUCUUGUUAAAUAUAAGGCAAUUCUUCCCACAUUAAAGAAGAAUUCUCAGUUAAAUAUAUCUGAUGAAGGUCCUCAGAACUCUGCUACUUGCAACUGUGGAUCUCAGUUCACCAGGAAGUCAUCUUGUUAAAAAGAAGCCAAAAGAAAGAUUUUAAAGUUGCUGAAAUAUAGAAUAACCCACCUUUUAAAUCAAUAUGGCUUAACUUUUAGGUCUGGUGUCUAAAUAGUACAUCUUUAAGUUAGACCAUUGAUCAAUGAAAUGAGCUACUGUAGCAGUGAAAACAACAGGAAAGUUUUGAAGAGAUAUAUAUACAAUGUGCUGUGGUUUGUGGUUUGUAUUUUGUUUUCAUUAAACCCUUUUGUCACACCUUAACUGUUUCUGACUAAAUAAAG
rnacentral:lncRNA from 1 species